rnacentral:rRNA from 1 species
GUGACUACCUAACACUGUUGCUUCGGCGGGGAGCCCUCUCGGGGGCGAGCCGCCGGGGACUACUGAACUUCAUGCCUGAGAGUGAUGCAGUCUGAGUCUGAAUAUAAAAUCAGUCAAAACUUUCAACAAUGGAUCUCUUGGUUCCGGCAUCGAUGAAGAACGCAGCGAACUGCGAUAAGUAAUGUGAAUUGCAGAAUUCAGUGAAUCAUCGAGUCUUUGAACGCACAUUGCGCCCCCUGGCAUUCCGGGGGGCAUGCCUGUCCGAGCGUCAUUGCUGCCCAUCAAGCCCGGCUUGUGUGUUGGGUCGUCGUCCCCCCCGGGGGACGGGCCCGAAAGGCAGCGGCGGCACCGUGUCCGGUCCUCGAGCGUAUGGGGCUUUGUCACCCGCUCGAUUAGGGCCGGCCGGGCGCCAGCCGACGUCUCCAACCAUUUUCUUCAGGUUGACCUCGGAUCAGGUAGGGAUACCCGCUGAACUUAAGCAUAC